rnacentral:rRNA from 1 species
AUUGAACGCUGGCGGCAGGCUUAACACAUGCAAGUCGAGCGGGGGAAGGUAGCUUGCUACUGGACCUAGCGGCGGACGGGUGAGUAAUGCUUAGGAAUCUGCCUAUUAGUGGGGGACAACAUCUCGAAAGGGAUGCUAAUACCGCAUACGUCCUACGGGAGAAAGCAGGGGAUCUUCGGACCUUGCGCUAAUAGAUGAGCCUAAGUCGGAUUAGCUAGUUGGUGGGGUAAAGGCCUACUAAGGCGACGAUCUGUAGCGGGUCUGAGAGGAUGAUCCGACACACUGGGACUGAGACACGGCCCAGACUCCUACGGGAGGCAGCAGUGGGGAAUAUUGGACAAUGGGGGGAACCCUGAUCCAGCCAUGCCGCGUGUGUGAAGAAGGCCUUAUGGUUGUAAAGCACUUUAAGCGAGGAGGAGGCUACUUUAGUUAAUACCUAGAGAUAGUGGACGUUACUCGCAGAAUAAGCACCGGCUAACUCUGUGCCAGCCGCCGCCGUAA